AACGUAGGACACAAGCGUUAUCCGGAGUUACUGGGCGUAAAGGGCGUGUAGGCGGAUCGGUAAGUCUGCUCUGAAAGCUCCUGGCUAAACUGGGAGAGGCGAGCGGAGACUGUCGGUCUAGAGUGAGGAAGAGGAAAGUGGAAUUCCGCGUGUAGUGGUGAAAUGCGCAGAUAUCAGGAGGAACACCGAUGGCGAAGGCAGGUCUCUGGGCCACUACUGACGCUGAGAAGCGAAAGCAUGGGGAGCGAACAGG
rnacentral:rRNA from 1 species